rnacentral:rRNA from 1 species
GACGAACGCUGGCGGCGUGCUUAACACAUGCAAGUCGAACGGAAAGGCCCUGCUUUUGUGGGGUGCUCGAGUGGCGAACGGGUGAGUAACACGUGAGUAACCUGCCCUUGACUUUGGGAUAACUUCAGGAAACUGGGGCUAAUACCGGAUAGGAGCUCCUGCUGCAUGGUGGGGGUUGGAAAGUUUCGGCGGUUGGGGAUGAACUCGCGGCUUAUCAGCUUGUUGGUGGGGUAGUUGCUUACCAAGGCUUUGACGGGUAGCCGGCCUGAGAGGGUGACCGGCCACAUUGGGACUGAGAUACGGCCCAGACUCCUACGGGAGGCAGCAGUGGGGAAUAUUGCACAAUGGGCGGAAGCCUGAUGCAGCAACGCCGCGUGCGGGAUGACGGCCUUCGGGUUGUAAACCGCUUUCGCCUGUGACGAAGCGUGAGUGACGGUAAUGGGUAAAGAAGCACCGGCUAACUACGUG